UAGGGAAUCUUCCACAAUGGGCGCAAGCCUGAUGGAGCAACACCGCGCGAGUGAAGAAGGGUUUCGGCUCGUAAAGCUCUGUUGUUAAAGAAGAACACGUAUGAGAGUAACUGUUCAUACGUUGACGGUAUUUAACCAGAAAGUCACGGCUAACUACGUGCUAG
rnacentral:rRNA from 1 species